AUUGAACGCUGGCGGCAUGCCUUACACAUGCAAGUCGAAACGGCAGCACGGGAGCAAUCCUGGUGGCGAGUGGCGAACGGGUGAGUAAUAUAUCGGAACGUGCCCGGUCGUGGGGAUAACGUAGCGAAAGCUACGCUAAUACCGCAUACGAUCUACGGAUGAAAGCGGGGGAUCGCAAGACCUCGCGCGAUUGGAGCGGCCGAUAUCAGAUUAGGUAGUUGGUGAGGUAAAGGCUCACCAAGCCGACGAUCUGUAGCUGGUCUGAGAGGACGACCAGCCACACUGGGACUGAGACACGGCCCAGACUCCUACGGAGGCAGCAGUGGGGAAUUUUGGACAAUGGGCGCAAGCCUGAUCCAGCAAUGCCGCGUGCAGG
rnacentral:rRNA from 1 species